rnacentral:lncRNA from 1 species
CUGAACUGAAAUUCCUCCCACGGCCCCUACGCCCCCGCCACCUAUCCCUCUCCUGCAAGCUGCUGCCCAUCCCUGCCCACACUGCUGUGGGAAAUUGGGUACCAAAUGUACUUGGUUAGCACAAGUCUCCACGGGGCCAUCAGUGCGCAUGGCUGGAGGGGUUUCCUGCAUUACACACUUGAUAUUGUUUCUGCUCCCUCAGCAAGGAUGUUGUGAUUCCGUACUGAUACCUGGGGUCCCUUUGUUCUCAGCUGUAGAAGCCAGUGAUUCCAUAAAGAGGGAAGAACAGAAGAGUCACCCCUCUUGAUGGCGGAUAACUAUUGAUGAACUUGAGCGGCUAUUGAAGCAUUGAUAACGGCUCACGGCAAAGUCAUAUGAUAUCCAUCGCAGAAGUCAUAGGCAAGAGCACCAAUGACUGUCAGAGCAGGGAGGAAAAGGGGGACCUAAACCCGUGGUCUAGUGCCUUCCCACUUUCAGGGUGGUUCUUCUUCCUCAGUCAAGAUUCUCUGAGAACUCCUGCAAAGACGUGCCUCUCUCUCUCUCUCUCUCUCUCUCUCAUGCACGCACAUACACACCCCCCAUAUAUGUUCACACACUUGCAUGCUUACAUACACACAUGCACACACACUUACCUACACAGUCAUAUGCAUACAUAUAUACCCACACAUACAUGCUCAUAUACACACACAGGCACAUACACACACACACAGGCACACAUACAUGUACAUGUGCACACUUCUUGGAGAGCAGAUUCUGCUCAUUUGAGGAAAGAAACUCAAGGGUUUGAUGGCAUCUCUGUUAUAAUUCAGAAAAGCUUAAAUAAAGAGAAGAGACAUUUUGGCAAAGAACAAAA